rnacentral:rRNA from 1 species
CGUAGGGGGCAAGCGUUGUCCGGAUUCAUUGGGCGUAAAGAGCGUGUAGGCGGCCAGGUAGGUCGGUUGUGAAAACUGGAGGCUCAACCUUCAGAGGUCGACCGAAACCAUCUGGCUAGAGUCCGGGAGAGGAGAGUGGAAUUCCUGGUGUAGCGGUGAAAUGCGCAGAUAUCAGGAAGAACACCCGUGGCGAAAGCGGCUCUCUGGAACGGUACUGACGCUGAGACGCGAAAGCGUGGGGAGCGAACAGG